rnacentral:lncRNA from 1 species
AAAUAUAAAACUUAUAAAACAAAAAUUCAACACAACCAUUAAGCAUCAUCGCGAAUUUGAUCGAAAGUACUUACAAACUAGAAACCUGGCCAACAAACUUACUGAUCCACCGUUUUAUGACAUUCACAAAAUGUGUAUCAAUAAAUUCGAAAAGUCCUUGAUAUGGAAUUAUUAAUUCAGGGUCUUCAUCUUCCUUAUCCAAAUAUUUAGGCUGCCAAUAAACUUUGACUCCGUUUUUAAAAAUAGGUUCCUUGAUCUUCAUGUAUUGGGCUCCUUUGAGUUCACUCAGUGGAAGGGGUGGUGUCUUCCAUGGAGAUAAUGGAAUCAAAUCCUUCAAUUGUGUCAAUUUUGGUUGCUCCUUCUGCUGCUGCUUGCAAAAAUAAACCAUCU